rnacentral:tRNA from 1 species
AUAGAAAUGGCAGAAAGUGCAUUAGGUUUAAGCCCUAAAUAUAAAGAUUAAAAUGUAUCUUUUUUUUAUA